AACGAACGCUGGCGGCAUGCCUAACACAUGCAAGUCGAACGAGACCUUCGGGUCUAGUGGCGCACGGGUGCGUAACGCGUGGGAACCUGCCCUUAGGUUCGGAAUAACUCCCCGAAAGGGGUGCUAAUACCGGAUAAUGUCUUCGGACCAAAGAUUUAUCGCCUUUGGAUGGGCCCGCGUUGGAUUAGCUAGUUGGUAGGGUAAAAGCCUACCAAGGCGACGAUCAAUAGCUGGUCUGAGAGGAUGAUCAGCCACACUUGGACUGAGACGCGGCCCAGACUCCUACGGGAGGCAGCAGUGGGGAAUAUUGGACAAUGGGCGAAAGCCUGAUCCAGCAAUGCCGCGUGAGUGAUGAAGGCCUUAGGGUUGUAAAGCUCUUUUACCCGGGAUGAUAAUGACAGUACCGGGAGAAUAAGCUCCGGCUAACUCCGUG
rnacentral:rRNA from 1 species